UCUGAUAAUAUUAGAUAAGGUAUGCAUAGAGGUGAAAAAUGCUCAGAGAAAGCUAAACGGCACGCCAAAGAAGGAGAAUGUGGCAAGUAAAACUUCAGAGUCCACCAAUCCACCUCCCCUCGAUCUUCGACAAAAGCUUUUUCCAGCUAUCACAGAUAGGAGAAUUGAUGAUUCUAGUUCGGAUGAUGAUGCUUCUUAAGGGAUCUGAGUCAUUUUUUAGCUCAAGUAUGGUAAAUGUGGAAAUGAGAUUCAGUUUUUGAAAGUUGUGCUAACAGAGGGAUCUCAAUUUGAGGCAACAGAGGUGGUUGGAGUUGCUCAAAGACAAUGAUAUGGCUA